rnacentral:rRNA from 1 species
ACCUACGGGGGGCAGCAGUGAGGAAUCUUGCGCAAUGGGGGAAACCCUGACGCAGCAACGCCGCGUGAGUGAGGAAGGUCUUCGGAUCGUAAAGCUCUGUCAGGUGGGAAGAAACGCAUGGGAGUUAACAGCUCUUAUGCUUGACGGUACCACCAGAGGAAGCACCGGCUAACUCCGUGCCAGCAGCCGCGGUAAUACGGGGGGUGCAAGCGUUGUUCGGAAUUAUUGGGCGUAAAGAGCGUGUAGGCGGCUGAAUAAGUCAGAUGUGAAAGCACUGGGCUUAACUCAGGAAGUGCAUUUGAUACUGUUCAGCUGGAGUAAGGGAGAGGAAAGUGGAAUUCCUGGUGUAGAGGUGAAAUUCGUAGAUAUCAGGAGGAACACCUGUGGCGAAGGCGACUUUCUGGCCCUAUACUGACGCUGAGACGCGAGAGCGUGGGUAGCAAACAGGAUUAGAUACCCGAGUAGUCCUU